rnacentral:rRNA from 1 species
CAGCACCUCGAGUGGUCAGGAUGAUUAUUGGGCCUAAAGCAUCCGUAGCCGGCUCUGUAAGUUUUCGGUUAAAUCUGUAUGCUCAACAUACAGGCUGCCGGGAAUACUGCAGAGCUAGGGAGUGGGAGAGGUAGACGGUACUCGGUAGGAAGGGGUAAAAUCCUUUGAUCUAUUGAUGACCACCUGUGGCGAAGGCGGUCUACCAGAACACGUCCGACGGUGAGGGAUGAAAGCUGGGGGAGCAAACCGGAUUAGAUACCCGAGUAGUCC